rnacentral:lncRNA from 1 species
ACAAUAUUAUUUUGAAACAAAAAACAAAGACAGAAAGGUGCACAUAUUUCUACCCCAUACUAGUUUCCAAACUGCAGGUUGAGCAUUCAUGAUAAACUCCUGCAUUAAGUAUAUAUGAUCCACUAUCAGUGCACAUAGCUAAGAUACACUAGAAAUGCUUCCCGGGAACUCAGAUUUUAUUUCAUGAGAAUCAUUUUUUCCUUAGCUAGUAUAGAAAAUUAUUUAAUAAUAUGCAAGUGGUGAAGAGUAACAGACAGCAUUCCUAAGAUACAUCAUGCGUCUCGACGCAUUGGUUAUAUCAUUGCCUCUGUAAAUUGUCCCUGAAUUCUACAAAUAGAAUGUCUAGAAAAAUUUUCUAAUGAUUCACAUCAAGUUUUCUUUAAAGUUUACUUUUUUAGAAGCUUCCUAAAUAGUUGAACAUAAAAUUUCUCAAAUUUUCCUCAAAGUGUGCAUUUCGCUUACUAUUUUCUGGAAUAUAGGAAACAAGGAUCAUGGGACAGCACGUCUCACUGGCAUUUACAUUCACUGCCCCAAAUCAGAACCAAACCACUGUUCAAGUCUUCUGUAAGAACACUGGAUUUGGGUCCCUGAGGUGCUGAUAAAAUUUUAUUUUUUGGCUUACAUAAUUAUUAUAUGGGCAUUCAGUAAUUGUUGGACUUUACAUGUGUGGACUUUAUGGGUUUUUGCAAUUGUAUUUCACAAUAAAAAGAAACAAAAGGCAGCUAUUUUUAGUAUUACUUAAAUGUUAAUUUAUGUAAUAAUCCCUUAAACCCGAUCUGAGUCCCCACUCAAGUAAAUUUUAAUAUGGCAUACUACUUUAAAAAACUAAUUAGUUCAACUUUGUAGUAAACUGGCAGCUUCGACCCACAUCCACUCUAACACCUAUUGCAGAAGGAGGCUGGCUGUUUACACUAAGCCUCCUAGUUGCUGCAUCCCCUCUGCUCAUAGUCCAAGGAGGUAGCUCAGAAAUUGAGUCUGAGAACAGAGGCUGGGUGUGGUGGCUCACGCCUGUAAUCCCAACACUUUGGGAGGCUGAGGCAGGUGGAUCACCUGAGGUCAGGAGUUCGAGACCAGUCUGGCCUAGAUGGUGAAACCCCAUCUCUACUAAAAAUACAAAAAUUAGCUGGGUGUGAUGGUGCGCACCUGUAAUCCCAGCUACUUAGGAGGCCAAGGCAGGAGAAUCGCUUGAACCCGGGAGGCAGAUGUUGCAGUGAACCGCUGCACUCCAGCCUGGGCAACAUAACCAGAUCUGUCUCAAAAAAAAAAAGAAAAAGAAAUUAAGAACCAAACGUAUAAUUCAGUUGUAGGGUGUGGCCACCCUCCUUUGACCAAAGUAGUUCUCUGUUUUACAUACACAAUGCCCCCAUUUUUCUUUGAAGAAAUAUGGCUAAAGUUUGAAAACCA